AGAACCCAUCUUUCCCAGUAUGACUCUGUACUACCAGAUCAGCAGUGACCCAGCACAAGCCCAAAGAGUCACUUUGGUCUGCUCACUGACCGGGUUUUACCCAAAAGAGAUCACAGUAGAAUGGAAAGAGGACAACAUGCAUUUUGAAGGUUCACCAGCUGUGUGGAAUAUGCAGGGGGAAGAUAAGAAGUUCAACCAGACCAGCCAGGUGGAAGUCAACCUUGAGAAAUGGCUUUCUGGCUCAUUGUAUACCUGCAAAGUUACGCAAAAUACAAAAUCACAAGAGCUCUCCACCAGCUUUUGCAGAACUCAUCCCAUUUCUUCGCCAUCUCUGAAGUUGAAUAUUGAUGAAAGUAGUGAGGCUUUCACAGCGACCUGUGAAGUGUUUGCCUCCUACAAAAGCAAAGUGUUCUGGGUCUUGGACAAGAGUGAGUCUGAAUCAGCAGACUAUCGUGAACUUAAGGACUCCGAGAAGAGAAUUCAGGGAUCUGUGCACAGCAGGACUUUCACCAAGGAUGAAUGGAAAUCCAUGAAGUCAAUUGCAUGUGAAGUCCGAAACAAAUGUUUCAGCCCUGUGAGGAAGACCUUUCAGAUAACAGCUCAUCCCAUUUCUUCGCCGUCUCUGAAGUUGAAUAUUGAUGAAAGUAGUGGGGCUUUCACAGCGACCUGUGAAGUGUUUGCCUCCUACAAAAGCAAAGUUUUCUGGGUCUUGGACAAGAGUGAGUCUGAAUCAGCAGACUAUCGUGAACUUAAGGACUCCAAGAACAGAAUUCAGGGAUCUGUGCACAGCAGGACUUUCACCAAGGAUGAAUGGAAAUCCAUGAAGUCAAUUGCAUGUGAAGUCCGAAACAAAUGUUUCAGCCCUGUAAGGAAGACCUUUCCGAUAACAGCCCCGGCGCCCCCCUCCCCACCCCAAGCCGCCCUGCUGCAGUUCUCCGGGGGACUCGUUUGCCUGGUGCACGGGUUCAGUCCGGCCGCCAUCAACGUCACCUGGGUCCUGAACGGCGAGACGGAGCUGCCGGGGGCCAACGGCAGCGACUUGUACCGCGCGGCCGACGGGACCUUCACGCUCUGGAGCCACCUGCAGGCCUCCUGGGAGCCGGGCGCCACGUAUACCUGCAGGGUGGCCCACACCACCAAGAGCCUCUCCCUCAGCAAGAGCCAGCCAGAGAUCAGCUCAGACAACGAGUACUUCAAUGAGAACACGCACGAGCCCUUGUCCGUAGACAGCCCCGAGGACAUCUGGAACACGGCCUGUGCCUUCCUCGUCAUCUUCCUCAUCACCCUCCUCUACAGCAUCUCUGUGACAUUAGUGAUGAUGAAAUAACAAGAGGAUCACAUACCCCAUGCAUCCUAUGGCACCAACAUUUUCUAUGGUGAAAUGCUUUGUGUUUUUCGAACCAACUGUCACUAAAGUGAUAUUCAGUUGAAUCUCUUUUUCAUUGUUAUUUGCCCUUUAGUUCACAGCUCUUCUCUUUAUUUGUCUAGUUCUGCUUUAAACUGCAACCUUAAUCGUCUUUAAUCUUGUUUUGUGAAAACUAAUCAGGUUACGUGUGCGUCUGUCAGAGGAAUCAUGCCAAUCAAAUUCAACGAUCAUACGCUAAGUUCUUUUGUGAGUGUUAGCUUUAUUUUAAACAGGUAGCUUUACUUCAAUUAAAACUGCUUUCAUGAGAAAA